AAAAAAAAAAAAAAAGAAAAAUGAAGCAGACCCUUGCCACUGUCCACCUAAGCCACCACCUUCCCCUAACCAAACAGUAGCACCACCACCUCCACGCGAUUGGUUCAGGGUUGACCCAUGUUCACUCCCAAACUAUUUCCAGCAUCACACCACUUCCCUGGAGACUUGCUUGAUGCUCAGAACUGCCAUUUGACGUCCCUACAAUGAGAUCCAUCCAGUUUGAAUUUUGACCCAAUUCUAGACCCGCCUGAAGCUUGAUAAUCUCCUACCUUUGACGGUUUGACCCUCCUCUGCACCUUGCUGUCAUACAGCGAUGCUAGGUCUGCUUGUUGAGUGCACGCUGUUGCUGUGCCUGUAUUACACCAGGUCUGCCCCCUGAAUCCAACUGAGGCCAUGCUGAUUCUCUGCCUUGAAUGUAUCUAUUCUAUGCCUCUCCUUACUCUGUUUUAUGUGAGACACAAACAACAUAAAUAAUGAUAUCGUUGAAUCAAAGACUACAGAAACUGCUUAUGGAAGUUGGGACUAAGCCUGUUAACCCCUCCUUCGGUUGAAGAACUUCUUCCUCUUCACUACCAAGUCAAUAAUUGUUCAUUAAAAGCAGAGCAGUUGCUUGUAAAGUCAAUGCAAAGUGCACUUGCCCCAUCUAUGAAAGGAUUGCUUGCAUAACUUUUAAGCAUUCUGAUGUUGAUAUUAAAAGUAGCAGUUGCUUCUUGCAUUAGUUAGGUAACCAUAAUAACUGUCUCAAAAUGUGGCAGACAAGUCUCGUCGAUCAUAUGGUAAAAGGACUUUGAUUCUU
rnacentral:misc_RNA from 1 species